AAUCAACGCUGGCGGCGUGCCUCAGACAUGCAAGUCGAACGCGAAAGUCCCCCUCGGGGGACGAAGUAGAGUGGCGCACGGGUGAGUAACACGUAGGUAAUCUACCUUCGGGUGGGGGAAGUAACAAUACGGAAACGGUUUUGCUAAUACCGCAUAAUGCAGCGGCACCUAAUGGUGACAGUUGUUAAAGCGGGGGAGUCGCAAGAUCUCGCGCCUGAAGAGGAGCCUGCGGCGGAUUAGCUAGUUGGUAGGGUAA
rnacentral:rRNA from 1 species